GACUUAGACGAAAUUGAAAUCAAUAACAUCCAGGCUAAGUCUCUCAAACUGAGAAGCCAACAAUGGAGAACUCUCUCCAGGUUUCAGGAUAUAGGAGAGAAAGGACACGAAAUUUUUGAUGUAUUGCCAAAGCAUAAAAGAGCCACCUGGGAAACUAUUCAGUAUAACAUUAGCACAAUAAAACAGGUCAUUCGAUAUUGUAUAUUUUUCCUUAUUUGCAUUGCAUGUUACAUAGCACGAUCUAAUUGCCAAUAAACACUUUGGCGAAUCGUUGAUAAAAACGCUCCACGAGUCGCAAUAAGGCAAGCUUCGUACUGAUUAUUUAUUCGAAUGUGCCACACAAGACUUGUCGUGUUCAGUCUAUAAUGAAGAUAUAACUCAUUUUUUCGCGUUGUGCACGGCAGAAUAAGAAUUUCGUCUUCGCCUAGAUCAGGAUUGAAGAAGUAGAGGGAACAAUGAAAUAUUUUUCGGCACAGAGUCCUUUACUCCUCAUCAAGGUCACUCUUCUGUUAACAGCAUGCCCUGGAUUAUCUAAUGGCGAUGUGAUUUCAAAGCUUUUCGCCGACUACGACAAAGCCUUAAGACCUGAUUUUGAAAGCGGCAAACCUACGGUCGUGCAAUGUUCUUUGACUGUCGAAUCUUUUGGC